GACGAACGCUGGCGGCGUGCCUAACACAUGCAAGUCGAACGGAGAUACGAUUUCGGUUGUAUCUUAGUGGCGAACGGGUGAGUAACGCGUGAGCAACCUGACCUUUAGAGGGGGAUAACACUUGGAAACAGGUGCUAAUACCGCAUAAGACCACGACCCGACAUCGGGAUGAGGUCAAAGGAGAAAUCCGCUAAAGGAGGGGCUCGCGUCCCAUUAGAUAGAUGGCGGGGUAACGGCCCACCAUGUCGACGAUGGGUAGCCGAGCUGAGAGGCUGAUCGGCCACACUGGAACUGAGACACGGUCCAGACUCCUACGGGAGGCAGCAGUGGGGAAUAUUGGGCAAUGGGCGCAAGCCUGACCCAGCAACGCCGCGUGAGGGAAGAAGGCCUUCGGGUUGUAAACCUCUGUCCUUGGUGACGAAACAAAUGACGGUAGCCAAGGAGGAAGCCCCGGCUAACUACGUG
rnacentral:rRNA from 1 species